GAUGAACGCUGGCGGUAUGCUUAACACAUGCAAGUCGAACGGGGUGCAUAGUCCCCUAGUGGCGGACGGGUGAGUAACGCGUGAGAAUCUGGCCUCAGGUCCGGGACAACCACGGGAAACGGUGGCUAAUACCGGAUGUGCCAUAUUGGUGAAAGAUUAAUUGCCUGAGGAUGAGCUCGCGUCUGAUUAGCUAGUUGGUGGGGUAAAGGCUUACCAAGGCGACGAUCAGUAACUGGUCUGAGCGGAUGACCAGUCACGCUGGGACUGAGACACGGCCCAGACUCCUACGGGAGGCAGCAGUGGGGAAUUUUCCGCAAUGGGCGAAAGCCUGACGGAGCAAUACCGCGUGAGGGAGGAAGUCUCUUGGGUUGUAAACCUCUUUUCUCAGGGAAGAAGAAUGACGGUACCUGAGGAAGCAGCAUCGGCUAACUCCGUG
rnacentral:rRNA from 1 species